rnacentral:lncRNA from 12 species
UGACAACUUGGUCCUGGCACCAGGGUGGUUCUAAUAGCUCUAGGCUAAAAGAAUCAUUUCCAUAGUGCAGCCAUAAUGAUAAUGUAAAUUUCACUUAAGUAUACAUGAUUACAGAAAAUUGCACAGAAUUGCAACAGACUUUGUGCUGUACUGUUUAUGGAGCAAUAUAGAUUUACCUUUUUUUUUUUUUUUUUUCUAAAUUCAACUGAAGGCAAACUUUUGGAUUCCAGAAGAGGAUAAAAGUCUACAGCAUUGUGUUAAUGUGUUUUAACAUUCUAAUGCAGGUUUGCCACACAUCUGCUGAGUGCUAACAGUGAAGUGAGAGGUGGGAGAGAUUCUUGCACAUUUACCAACUUGCAGAGCCCCACUUUGAACAAAGUGUUUUCUAAAGUCUCCAGGAGUGCUCAGUCUAUACGUGUUCAGAGCAGAAGGAAACGUUUCAAGGUCCUUGCAGUUGAAAGGGUGCAUGAAGAUACCCUGUCCCGCAUCUGCUUGACCAGGAACUCCUCGAACACCAGGGUUCCAAUGGGCCAGGUUUCCUGCCAGCAUGACAACAAUAUCCAUGCUGGCUCAUGGCAGCUUGAUGGGGCAUCGGGGAGAGAACCACUCGAAUGGGCCGCCCACGACCUCAGCAUGAGUGAGUAAUUGUAAAGGCUCCCCACCAUGUGUGUUAAUACUUAGAAACACAGAACUGAAUGUCAACACUUUGCCUCUCCCGAGAGUGCUCAGAUCUGAGCACGGAGGCCGAGAGUAACACCACACCAACCUGGAGUUGAGAAAGGAAAGUAUAUGUUAUCUGUUUUAAAUCACUUGUCAAAAAUGAGUUUUUCUUGAGCUCUCUUCUUUGGGGAGAAAAAAAAAUAUAGAAGAGUCUUUGGCAUCAACUGCCUUGCCUUGGCACUGAGUAGCAGCUAUGAACACUGACACUGGACACCCAUACCAGAAUGGCACACACACUCAUCAUUGCUCAAAAACAAGGCAUUUACAGAUCAAAGAUUGGGUAGGAGUCCUUGUUCUGCUCUUCUGAUCCUCAGAAAUCCUCAAAACUUGUCUAAAUUCCAGUUUUCUCACUGCCAAAGGGAGCUUAAUCUUUAUCUACCUAACAGGUCUGUCACAAGGAAAGUCAUGCUAGUCCUUGCUAGGGGAUGAAUGUAUGUGUGUGUGUGUGUGUGUGUGUGUGUGUGUGUGUUAAGGGUGGAAAGGUUCUUUUGCGUUGUGCAAAGUCGCAUUGGAAAGAGAUCCCAUGUCCACAGAAGAGUUAAAUUAAUACUCAUGAUAGAAUCUAGCCCCUGCUAGAACAUUAAUUAUCAUCUGC